AUAGGAAGAAAAGAAAAUACGAAACCCAUUUCUCCACUAGAAGCUGCUGUUGAUAGAGAAGAAGAAGAGGAGAAAGAAAAUGGCGAAAACGAAGAAGCAGUUGCUAUCAUCAGCGCCAUGGAGAGACGAAGAAAACCCAGCUGAGAAAUUCAAAGAUGCGAAAAUGAAAGUCACAAAUCAACCAGGAACUACACCUACCAUGCAUGUUCCUGGCAAAAAACGCUCUUCUUCUAACAACAACAAUAAUGAAGAUGAUGAUUCUCUCUCUGAAAUUGACCAACAACUUGUUUACAGCUUUAAGCGCAACUUCGAGUUUCUACACCGAGUAUUUAGCAUUGACACCAUGGUCAAACCCCUUCCUCCAGUAAUGGCGUAUAACGUUUCUCGCAACUUGAGCUUCUUCACUCGUAUUUUCACUCAAUUUUUUGAUCCUGAUGGCAUCUCGAAUGCUCAGAAAUCACUUGGGCUUGGACAAGAAGAGAAGGCUCGACGUGUUCGUUAGCCAGAAUUUAGAUGCAUGUGAAUAUCAUGUUUUUUUUGCUUAGUUGCUUUGCAAAUUGAAGGGAUUACUAUUCUUGACGACAUGAUUCGUAACUGGAAGCACCUCAUCACAACAUUCUACCACCAUUAAAAUUUAGGAGGCAUAAUAAACUAUGUCUUCUGAAGACUACUUGAUCAACAACCAUCUUUUCUUAUUUUAUUGUUGUUUUGUCAUUUCAAAAUGUAAAAUCCUUGUUAAACAGGCCUUCCCUUAAUAUUAUCACUGUCAUUCCAUAUCCAGAACACAAUAAAUGCACACACUCCUAUGCAAAAACAGUGCAAUUCAUCGCAAAUAAGUACAUGCACCCAAGUGUAUGUAAAGCACUAAAGCAUGGUGCACCCUCUUUUAAAUUAUGUCGUUUUAUCAUGUUUAGUGUAUAAAUUUUAAAAUUGUUGUUAUUUGUUUUCUUAAAUUUUGCAACUAAAGAUUCUUAAAUUUAAAAGGCAUAUGUUCUUUUACCUUAA